rnacentral:rRNA from 1 species
GAUGAACGCUCGCUACAGGCUUAACACAUGCAAGUCGAGGGGAAACCGCAUUGAGUGCUUGCACUCUUUGGACGUCGACCGGCGCACGGGUGAGUAACGCGUAUCCAACCUUCCCAUUACUGUGGGAUAACCUGCCGAAAGGCAGACUAAUACCGCAUAGUCUUCGAUGACGGCAUCAGAUUUGAAGUAAAGAUUUAUCGGUAAUGGAUGGGGAUGCGUCUGAUUAGCUUGUUGGCGGGGUAACGGCCCACCAAGGCUACGAUCAGUAGGGGUUCUGAGAGGAAGGUCCCCCACAUUGGAACUGAGACACGGUCCAAACUCCUACGGGAGGCAGCAGUGAGGAAUAUUGGUCAAUGGACGGAAGUCUGAACCAGCCAAGUAGCGUGCAGGAUGACGGCCCUAUGGGUUGUAAACUGCUUUUGUAUGGGGAUAAAGUUAGGGACGGGUCCCUAUUUGCAGGUACCAUACGAAUAAGGACCGGCUAAUUCCGUG